AUUGAACGCUGGCGGCAUGCUUUACACAUGCAAGUCGAACGGUAACAGGCCUUCGGGCGCUGACGGGUGGCGAACGGGUGAGUAACGCAUCGGAACGUGCCCAGUCGUGGGGGAUAACGCAGCGAAAGCUGUGCUAAUACCGCAUACGAUCUGCGGAUGAAAGCGGGGGACCUUCGGGCCUCGCGCGAUUGGAGCGGCCGAUGUCAGAUUAGGUAGUUGGUGGGGUAAAGGCUCACCAAGCCAACGAUCUGUAGCUGGUCUGAUAGGACGACCAGCCACACUGGGACUGAGGAACGGCCCAGACUCCUACGGGAGGCAGCAGUGGGGAAUUUUGGACAAUGGGCGCAAGCCUGAUCCAGCAAUGCCGCGUGCAGGAAGAAGGCCUUCGGGUUGUAAACUGCUUUUGUACGGAGCGAAAAGGCUCCCUCUAAUACAGGGGGCUCAUGACGGUACCGUAAGAAUAAGCACCGGCUAACUACGUGCCAGCAGCCGCGGUAAUAC
rnacentral:rRNA from 1 species